rnacentral:rRNA from 1 species
UGGGGAAUCUUGGACAAUGGGGGCAACCCUGAUCCAGCCAUGCCGCGUGAGUGAUGAAGGCCUUAGGGUCGUAAAGCUCUUUCGCCUGUGAAGAUAAUGACGGUAGCCGGAGAAGAAGCCCCGGCUAACUCCGUGCCAGCAGCCGCGGUAAUACGGAGGGGGCUAGCGUUGUUCGGAAUUACUGGGCGUAAAGCGCGCGUAGGCGGACUGAUCAGUCAGGGGUGAAAUCCCGGGGCUCAACCCCGGAACUGCCUUUGAUACUGUCAGUCUUGAGUCCGGAAGAGGCGAGUGGAAUACCGAGUGUAGAGGUGAAAUUCGUAGAUAUUUGGAGGAACACCAGUGGCGAAGGCGGCUCACUGGCUCGAUACUGACGCUGAGGUGCGAAAGUGUGGGGAGCAAACAGGAUUAGAUACCCUGGUAGUCCACACCGUAAACGAUGAAUGCCAGUCGUCGGGUAGCAUGCUAUUCGGUGACACACCUAACGGAUUAAGCAUUCCGCCUGGGAGUACGGUCGCAAGAUUAAAAGCUCAAA